CAGGUUAUAGAAACUUGUUUUUGUCAUCUUGUCAUAUUCGAAUCCAAGAUCAGUGUAAUUGAUUUUAAUUAUAUCAUCGAUACUAUCGGUAAUAUAUUUAAGAAGAAAAUCAAAAGGUGUGUUAUUUUUUUUUUUCAAUUGACAACCAUAAAUUUCAUCUAAAUUUUUUUUCGUUGAUUCCCUAUCAAGUGGAUCAUUAUCAUCACCAUCAACAUACAUGGUUAUAUAGCAAUUUGUGUCGAAGAUUAUACUUUUUAACAUAUUGUCAAUAUUUACGUAUAAAAUAUAGAACCUAUCAUCAUUUAAUUCUGUAUUGAUUUCAAUUUCGUUAAAGUUAUUCAAUGUAGUAAUUAAAUCGUACAAAAUUUGUUUUUCAACGCUUAC